GCUGAGCGUGCGAAAGCCAGUCCGAGCGAGGCAGUUCCUCAGUCUCAGCCGGUCCGUGAAAAUGGGGUCAAGAAAUCCAGUGUGGAAAAUUGUGGAAAAUUCUGACAGCUGUCAGGAAGGAGGUUAUUGAAUUCAUUGGAGAAUGAAUGUUGUCCUGAAUUUGAAUUCAUCAGAUUCUUCCUUACCUGUGUCGUCUGCAAGAGAAAUGUUGGUGAAAGUACGAUCCUCCUCUUCCUCUUGGCUGGACCCGUCCAUCUUGUUCACUUUUCAGGCCUGUUAGUGAGAAAAAUGGGGGCAGGGGGAACGGCAGUUCUCUCAUGUGAUCGCCCUUGUUAAAUAAUUAAUAAAUGAGCGCCCACGUAGGUGCUAUCUGAUCCUUGCACAAGCCACCCUCUUCCUGCUUUCCACCUGAGGAGUUCUUAGUGCGUGUUGUGGACCUAACCGGAAAU